rnacentral:ribozyme from 11 species
AAGGAAACACGUUUCGAAUCAAUAAUCAAAAGACAAAAAGUAAAUUACAAAUGGAAAAUUUUUCUUUAUUAAUCAUCAGAUUAAUAAUUUUCCAUAAUUUACUUUUUAUUUUCUUUUGAUUAUUGAAAACGUGUUUCGAUCCACCUAUCAAAGGUGGAUCCAUGAUGGCGGUCUUAAAGAAAGA